rnacentral:rRNA from 1 species
CCUAGGAGGCAGCAGUGGGGAAUAUUGGACAAUGGGCGAAAGCCUGAUCCAGCCAUGCCGCGUGUGUGAAGAAGGCCUUCGGGUUGUAAAGCACUUUCAGUGGGGAAGAAAGCCUUGGGGCUAAUACCCUCGAGGAAGGACAUCACCCACAGAAGAAGCACCGGCUAACUCCGUGCCAGCAGCCGCGGUAAUACGGAGGGUGCGAGCGUUAAUCGGAAUUACUGGGCGUAAAGCGCGCGUAGGCGGUCUGAUAAGCCGGUUGUGAAAGCCCCGGGCUCAACCUGGGAACGGCAUCCGGAACUGUCAGGCUAGAGUGCAGGAGAGGAAGGUAGAAUUCCCGGUGUAGCGGUGAAAUGCGUAGAGAUCGGGAGGAAUACCAGUGGCGAAGGCGGCCUUCUGGACUGACACUGACGCUGAGGUGCGAAAGCGUGGGUAGCAAACAGGAUUAGAUACCCCAGUAGUC